AAGCACGCCGCUAGAUCCAUAAAGAACCCAGCCAACCUGCAAAGGGAGGGGAGGGGAUGAGCUGUGAGGAGAGCGGGGCCCAAGAACCAUGUCUACCCGGGAGUCCUUUAACCUGGAAAGUUACAAAUUGGACAAAAGCUUCCGGCUAACCAGAUUCACUGAACUUAAGGCUGCAAAGUGCCCCAAGAUAUCCUGCAAAAAUUGCUGGAAUCUUUACAGGCGAACCACUUCCAAGAAGAUGAGCAAUUUUUGGGAGCCGUUAUGCCAAGGCUUGGCGUUGGAAUGGAUACUUGUGUCAUUCCUUUGAGACACAGUGGGCUUUCCUUGGUUCAAAUCACAGAUUACAUUUACCUGAUCGUAGACGACUCCUAUAUGAUGGGCAGGAUAGCAUGUGCCAAUGUCCUCAGUGACCUCUAUGCAAUGGGGGUCACGGAAUGUGGCAAUAUGCUGAUGCUCCUUAGAGUCAAUAAUAAAAUGAUCGACAGGGAAAGAGAUAAAGUGAUGCUUCUGAUUAUCCAAGGUUUUAAAGAUGCAGCUGAAUAAACAGGAACAUCUGUAACAGGCAGCCAAACAGUACUAAACCCCUGGAUUGUCCUGGGAGGAGUCGCUACCACUGUCUGCCAGCCCAGUGAAUUUAUCAUGCCAGACAAUGCAGUGCCAGGGGACGUGCUGGUGUUGACAAAACCCCUGGGGACACAGGUGGCAGUGACUGUGCACCAGUGGCUGGAUAUUCCUGAGAAAUGGAAUAAGAUUAAACUAGUGGUCACCCAAGAAGAUGUAGAGCUGGCCUACCAGAAGGUGAUGAUGAACAUGGGGAGGCUCAACAGAACAGGUGGCCUUCUGAUCUGUUUACCACGUGAGCAAGCAGCUCGGUUCUGUGCAGAGAUAAAGUCCUCCAGAUGUGGUGAAGGCCACCAAGCAUGACUAUUGGGAUUGUAGAGAAGGGCAACCACACAGCCAGAAUCAUAGACAAACCCUGGAUCAUCAAGAUCGCACCACAAGUGGCCACUCAAAAUGUGAAUCCCACACCUGGGGCCACCUCUUAA